rnacentral:lncRNA from 1 species
CUACUAUAAUCUUUUGAUCGCACCUCUUUCUUAAAGUUGAUUUAAAAUUAACUCUUACAAAUUUCGACGUCAACAGUUUGGCGCUAGAAAAAGGGCCGCAUUGUGGAAAAUAGCCCCAUUCUCUGUACAAAAAUCGAGAGUCAUGAGUCAUAGCUCCAACACUAGAAAUCCAUCCCAUACUCACCCUCAUGAAACUAAUGCCCCGCCUAGUUUUCCAAGAUGGCGAGAGCAGAACCGAGCAAACGACCCACAAAUGAUAGCUAUGAGGGAAGCCCUGGAAAAACUAACAAAUGCAGUUGGCCAAUUGGAACAAAACCAAGCCCACUUGUCCCCAUCGGACACCGAGGUAGAUUCUCCAACGAGGACAAAAGCCAGAAGUCUCCUUACCAGAAGGACCCUCAACUUCUCACGAGGAAAACCUUCAGAAAGUCAAACUGACGAAGUCAAGAGCCAGGCCCCUACAACGAAGCCUAUCGCAAGGAAAAUAGGUAGCAUGUUUGAUAGGUUGGGAACUCAGCACUCGCUAACCCCUACACGAAGAGAUGCUGAACCCGACCUAAAACCUCCUUUGGAGCAGGUAGAGCCCGAAAUGAGUGCCCUAAAAAGACGCAUAGCUGACCUAGAGGCUAAAAACAAAGGUGGAACUGAAGACUAUCUCACCAAGCUACAUUCUCCUUUCACUGAAGACGUCUUUAUCGAACCAUUGCCUGAAAGAUUGAAUGUUCCACAGAUGACCACAUAUGAAAGAGAAAGGGAUCCCUUCAGUCACCUUGACAAGUACAUCUCGUGGAUGGAGCUACAGGGGACAAGUGAUGCCAUCAUGUGCUGAGCUUUCCCCCUGACCUUAGGAGACAAAUCCCAAAGAUGGUUCAGGAAAUUGCACCAAAGGUCGGUCAAAAAUUGAAACGAUCUGGCCUCCACGUUCCUAGCCCAGUUCAUGGGCUCCAAAGCCAGGACUACGCAAAGGAGCGACUGGUGAACAUCAAGCAGGUAAAAAGUGAGUCCCUCAAAAGCUAUCUAAGCAGAUUCAAUAAACAAUCCAUGGAGGUGGAAAAGAUAUCUGAUGAUGUUGCACUCAUGGCCGUAGGCCCAGAACGAGAUUUUGGUGGUUAGUACGCGAGGACGGACCGAGGACUUACCAUGAGCUCCUUAAUCUAGUUGAGAAAUACAUAAGUGUUGAGGAAGCAACCACCGAUCAAGAUGAAGCCAAAUGUGAUCUUGACCAUAGCAAUAUGGCGAAAGAAAAAAGGCUGGAUAGGAACCUCAGCCCGAAAGAAUGAAGGAUAGAGGAAAGAGAAUCACCCUAAGAAUAAACCAUAUAGGUUUCGAGAAUAUCACCCACUGAAGACCACCUUGGAGGAGUAUUCCUGCAAGCCAGUGAGAAAGAAACAUUUCGCAAGUCGGUGGUUCAGAAGAACGCACAUGGAGGUACCACCAAGGGUGAUACUGCCGAUAUCACAGGAUGGCAGGACAUGAUAUAGACAGUUGCUGGGAGUUGAAGGAAGAAGUUGAGUUCUUGAUCCGCAGAUGACGGUUGUAAGAGUACGUCGUCAAACCAAAAGAUGCAGACCAACUUCCACCACAACAGCCUUUGCAGCAGGGUCCCAUCGUAAGAACUCAGCAGGUAGUUCCCAAUCGCAAUCCUCCUCCACAAGCCCGAUCCGACUGAUGGUCGGAGGAAAUCAUUAUAUUGAUGGGUCUAGAAAGGCAAGGCGCAGACAAGCCCGAAAUGCAUAAAUCAUAUCGAAUUACGAAGAACGAACCCCACAGACUGGUACAAACCCUGAAUGGUUUUGGUUUACAGAGGAGGAUUCCCUAGGAAUCCUCCAGGAUCAAAGCGAUGCCCUAAUAAUCACCAUGCCAGUAGCCGAGGUAAAAAUACACAAGAAGUUGGUGGACAUCGGGAGCUCGGUUAAUACACUUUACUCGCUUACCUUAAGGCAAUUGGAAAUAUUGGAGCGUUAUCUUCAGCUCUACCUAAGGAAACUUCAAGGGUUUUCCGGGGAUCCUAUCGAGACCCGAGGUCAAAUUUUCCUCAUUGUAGAACUAGGCGAAGCUCCUUGCCAAAGAAGGAUUUCAGCUGAUUUUGUGAUAGUCGACCUACCGUCCAACUACAAUGCCAUAUUGGGGCGGCCUAUAUUGCACAAGCUAAAGCUGUCAUGUCAAUUUAUCACUACUGCAUGAAAUUUCCCACUCCGUAUGAGACUGGAAUCGCACGUAGAGACUAAGCGAAAGCUAGGGCGUGCAACAUUGACCGGCCCAAACCUCGGAUCAACAUGCUAAGAGGCAGGCCAAAUGUACGAACCGGGGAAUCUAGACUAAAAAACCCCAUUGUCGCAAAUCUCUCCGAGAUCGACAUAACAGAGAUACACUUUAAAAGACCUACGGAUGACCUACUGUCCUUUGAUGAAAGAGAAGCUGACCCACAUCCUUAUCCUGAAGUCCUGGUAGUCCCAAUACCUGUGGCAAGGGUAAAUAUCCCAAAGGUCCUAGUUGACAUCGGAAGCGCCAUCAACAUUCUCUUCAGCAACACCCUCGAAUAGAUGGUCAUACCUACCAACUUCUUGCGACCAUACUCUAAUAUGGUCAUUGGAUUAAGUGGAGCCCUGACCUCGGCCAAGGGAUCAAUCAAGCUCACUGCUGAGGUCCAAACCAGAAUGAAUUCCGAGUUUGUGGUGUUUGACACCCCGUCACUGUAUGACGCCGUCAUGGGACAGCCCUUGACAUUCGAUUUGAAUGCGGCAUUAUUCGAUUAAAUUUCCCACACUUAUGGCAUGGGCGAAGUCAAAAAAAGCAAGGAACUUGCCGAAAAAUGCCAAUUGAAAGCCUAUACUAGCCACCAACACACUCCCCCAGAAGUGUACAAGGCCCGCACAUGGGAACCCGAACUCGAUUCACUAGACCCAGCACAAAAAUCGAAGGAGAAAAACUCGUGGAAGAAUUGG